AGUGAACGCUGGCGGUAGGCCUAACACAUGCAAGUCGAACGGCAGCACAGUAAGAGCUUGCUCUUACGGGUGGCGACUGGCGGACGGGUGAGGAAUACAUCGGAAUCUACUUUUUCUUGGGUGAUAACGUAGGGACACUUACGCUAAUACCGCAUACGACCUACGGGUGAAAUCAGGGGAUCUUCGGACCUUGCGCGAUUGAAUGAGCCGAUGUCGGAUUAGCUAGUUGGCGGGGUAAAGGCCCACCAAGGCGACGAUCCGUAGCUGGUCUGAGAGGAUGAUCAGCCACACUGGAACUGAGACACGGUCCAGACUCCUACGGGAGGCAGCAGUGGGGAAUAUUGGACAAUGGGCGAAAGCCUGAUCCAGCCAUACCGCGUGGGUGAAGAAGGUCUUCGGGUUGUAAAGCCCUUUUGUUGGGAAAGAAAAGCAGUAGGUUAAUACCCCGCUGUUCUGACGGUACCAAAAGAAUAAGCACCGGCUAACUUCGUG
rnacentral:rRNA from 1 species